UCCCAGGGCUGUGCUGGAUGCGACUGGAA
rnacentral:piRNA from 1 species